rnacentral:misc_RNA from 1 species
GAUGAAGAACGCAGCAAAAUGCGAUAAGUAAUGUGAAUUGCAGAAUUCAGUGAAUCAUCGAAUCUUUGAACGCACAUUGCGCCCGCCAGUAUUCUGGCGGGCAUGCCUGUUCGAGCGUCAUUUCAACCAUUAAGCCCCAGGCUUGUGUUGGGGACCUGCGGCUGCCGCAGGCCCUGAAAACCAGUGGCGGGCUCGCUAGUCACACCGAGCGUAGUAGCAUACACAUCGCUCAGGGCGUGCUGCGGGUUCCGGCCGUUAAACCCCUUUUUUACCCAAGGUUGACCUCGGAUCAGGUAGGAAGACCCGCUGAACUUAAGCAUAUCAAUAAGCGGAGGA